rnacentral:rRNA from 1 species
UGGGGAAUCUUGGACAAUGGGGGCAACCCUGAUCCAGCGACGCCGCGUGGGUGAUGAAGGCCUUCGGGUUGUAAAGCCCUUUUGUCGGGGACGAUGAUGACGGUACCCGACGAAUAAGCACCGGCUAACUCCGUGCCAGCAGCCGCGGUAAGACGGAGGGUGCUAGCGUUGUUCGGAAUUACUGGGCGUAAAGGGCGCGUAGGUGGCUUGUUAAGUCGGGUGUGAAAGCCCGGGGCUCAACCCCGGAACGGCACCCGAGACUGGCAGGCUGGAGACCGGGAGAGGAGAGUGGAAUACCCAGUGUAGAGGUGAAAUUCGUAGAUAUUGGGUGGAACACCAGUGGCGAAAGCGGCUCUCUGGCCCGGUUCUGACACUGAGGCGCGAAAGCGUGGGGAGCAAACAGG